GGAUGCGACCUUCGCAUGACCGCUUCGAGGAACUUGACACCCAUCGUUAGGCAAUCCGUGAAGUUCUACGACAUGUCGGGAGUCGAAAGGAAGCAUUAAUGCGCAAUCUGUAAAGUUCCGUAACAUUCCAGAAGCCAAAGAGGGGACGGUUGCGUAAUCCGUAAGGUUUCAUGACAUUACGGAAAGAAAACAAGUAUCGUUACGUAAUUCUUAAAGUUUCG
rnacentral:lncRNA from 1 species